UACGGAGGGUGCGAGCGUUGUCCGGAAUCACUGGGCGUAAAGGGCGCGUAGGCGGCUUUUUAAGGGUGCGGUGAAAGCCCGGGGCUUAACCCCGGGUCGGCCGUGCCGACUGAAAAGCUGGAGCACUGUAGAGGCAGGUGGAAUUCCGGGUGUAGCGGUGGAAUGCGUAGAGAUCCGGAAGAACACCAGUGGCGAAGGCGGCCUGCUGGGCAGUUGCUGACGCUGGAGG
rnacentral:rRNA from 1 species